rnacentral:piRNA from 1 species
UUCCCAGCAACUACAUGGUGGCUCAAA